GUACCUUUCUCGGCCUUCUAGGAAAGAUAUAAUGUAGUAUAUGUUCUCAUUAGUUUAAUAUCUGAUACGUGGGCCAUCGGUUCACUCUUUAUUAAAUUAAUAAUUUUUUAAAGGGAGGGCCCACUACAGUAGCUUGUUGCUGGGGCCUCUAAUACGUUGCCUUGGUGUUGCACUAUUGCCUUGGCUUGGCGCACCCCAA